rnacentral:tRNA from 1 species
UCGAUCGGGUGGGAGAGGUCGUGGAGCGUCAUCGGUCGUCGUAGACCACCGUGCCGUCGACGAUCGUCAGUUCGACGCCGAUCCCGUCGAU